GAGGGUAUUUAUUACCCUCCUGCUCCGGAUGGACAAAUCCAUUCUUAAGGCAGCCAGGCCCUCCUGGCCUAAAAAGCCUGCGGCAGCAGCAGCUUCAGGCAACUUCGUGCCUUGGCAGAGGUGAGGAAUGAGGCUGCAAUCUACGUGGAAGGCUUUACCAUCUUCUCAUGCCCUGCUGCCUGCCUCGCACCACUCCCCGUGGCCGUGUUCCCGAGCACCCAUCACUUCCUUUGCCUUAUUCAUCUCGUCAUCCAUUCAUUCUACAUUCCAGGAGAAUCUGUACUUUCUGGCUUGGAUGCCAGAGAAGCCUAGAAGCAAUGGCAGCUUGAUAGCAGUGAUUAUCCUGAGGCGUAGCGUGUGAGCUCUAAACACCAUCUCCUACCGGAGGAUCAAGAGAUUCCUGAAGAGAUGGCUGAUUUCAGGCCUGGGCCAAGAAAUGCACAAGAUAAGCCUGGGAAUCUUGAAGGACCGGAAUGUUGAGGGUCUACAAAGACCACUAAGAACUGGACAAAAAGUUUCAGAAUCCACAUGAAGAGGUCAGAAACGGGACAAUUUUAGCAUCACAUCAAACUAAUGAAACAAGUUAAAUAUAUAAAUAGCCAGAAGCUCCAAAAACUGGUAGACAACACUUAAUUAGUCACUGUGACUAGUUGCUGGGGCACCAGCUCACCUUUCUGGCCACUGAGAAAGGGAAAUAAUCAAUAUUUAUGCCAUUUUUUGUUUGUAUGAGGCAUAUUUCAUUAACUACAAACAGUUGAAGUAAUUUCUUUUCUAACUGGAACAUUCCAGAUAUUAAACUCAGGAGUGAUAGAA